UAUCCGGAUUUAUUGGGUUUAAAGGGUGCGUAGGCGGUUUGAUAAGUUAGAGGUGAAAUACCGGGGCUCAACUCCGGAACUGCCUCUAAUACUGUUGAACUAGAGAGUAGUUGCGGUAGGCGGAAUGUAUGGUGUAGCGGUGAAAUGCUUAGAGAUCAUACAGAACACCGAUUGCGAAGGCAGCUUACCAAACUAUAUCUGACGUUGAGGCACGAAAGCGUGGGGAGCAAACAGGAUUAGAUACCCUGGUAGUCCACGCAGUAAACGAUGAUAACUCGUUGUCGGCGAUACACAGUCGGUGACUAAGCGAAAGCGAUAAGUUAUCCACCUGGGGAGUACGUUCGCAAGAAUGAAACUCAAAGGAAUUGACGGGGGCCCGCACAAGCGGAGGAACAUGUGGUUUAAUUCGAUGAUACGCGAGGAACCUUACCCGGGCUUGAAAGUUAGUGACGAUUCUGGAAACAGGAUUUCCCUUCGGGGCACGAAACUAGGUGCUGCAUGGUUGUCGUCAGCUCGUGCCGUGAGGUGUCGGGUUAAGUCCCAUAACGAGCGCAACCCCUACCGUUAGUUGCCAUCAGGUCAAGCUGGGCACUCUGGCGGGACUGCCGGUGUAAGCCGAGAGGAAGGUGGGGAUGACGUCAAAUCAGCACGGCCCUUACGUCCGGGGCUACACACGUGUUACAAUGGUAGGUACAGAGGGCCGCUACCCCGUGAGGGGAUGCCAAUCUCGAAAGCCUAUCUCAGUUCGGAUUGGAGGCUGAAACCCGCCUCCAUGAAGUUGGAUUCGCUAGUAAUCGCGCAUCAGCCAUGGCGC
rnacentral:rRNA from 1 species